AUUUUCUUUUUUUUUUUUUUUUUUUUUUUUUAGAUUUAUUUAUUGGUUAUAUGUAAGUACACUGUAGCUGUCUUCAGACACUCCAGAAGAGGGAGUCAGAUCUCGUUAUGGAUGGUUGUGAGCCACCAUGUGGUUGGUGGGAUUUGAACUCUGGACCUUCGGAAGAGCAGUCGGGUGCUCUUACUCACUGAGCCAUCUCACCAGCCCCAGACUUGGAUUUUUGGAUUUUUGGGUGGGUAGGCUGUGUAUAUAACAGUCCUGAAGUGUUCAGCCCUAUGGGCAGGGGAGUCGCAGUCCCAUUGUUGGCUGCUACAUUUCUACAAUGCAGGAAUGGAGUCCCCUUUCAACCAGAAGCCUUUUAGAUUUAAGACUCCACCUCCCUCAUCUUGACGUCCAUGAAUGUUGGACACCUACUCGUGAGAUGUUCAGGAGGGUUCUUGGGGGCCAAGCUGCCUUAAGGGACUUUGAACCCUGGAUGUUAAGCACUAAGUGUUAGAGAACCCAGAGUGAACUGAAUGGCUGUGUUAGAUAAGUGGGAUGCAAAAAUGGGUAGGACCCAGCUUGCCAACUGAAUAACCUAGUGACCUAGUGUCAAAGAAACCCAUGUUAGAUCUCUCAGCUCACGGAAGUAUUAUCCUCCGGGUCUCCUGCCCGUGUCUUAUGCGUCCAUACCUCACUGUAAGGAUCGGGUGCUAGGGGAAGAAGGGCUCUAGCCUACAAGGCCAGGCUCCAGCCCUACCUGUGUGUCUUCUGGGCCCGUAGGGUUCCUCUGUGGCUGGGCAUCACAAGCAUAGCUCAGCCUCCGAGUCCCAACGUUAUGAGAGCUGCUUAGAUUCAGCACAACUCAAAUAGCAAGGCAAAAUAAAACAAAAUGUAAUAAAUCCACUACUGAUAGAUCAGGAAUACGGUCUCAGGAGCUGAACUGCAAUUCCCCUUCUUGCCCUCAGCCAGAAUGUUGCAGAGCUUUUUUGGUUUUUGGUUUUUGGUUUUUCGAGAAAGGGUUUCUCUGUAUAGCCCUGGCUGUCCUGGAACUCACUCUGUAGACCAGGCUGGCCUCGAACUCAGAGAUCUGCCUGCCUCUGCCUCCCUAGUGCUGGUGUUACAGAGCUUUUAAGCCUGAAAGCCACAAAUGUCUGUUGCAAGUUACAUUUUUCUACCAAUUAGGAUUCACAGAUAGGUGACUUCCUCAUGCUGAUGCUUUUGGGUUAUUGAACUGUGGUGAGCCAAUUUGCUUGGCAUUCACAUCUCAACUUGCCAACCAGGAUGUCAGUUGCCCAGGUACAUGUCUCCGUGUCUCUUUCUACCAACCAGGAUGUCAGUUACCUAGGGAGGUCUCGGGAACAUAAACUUUGACCCCUGUU
rnacentral:lncRNA from 1 species